rnacentral:rRNA from 1 species
GCCUACGGGGGGCAGCAGUAGGGAAUCUUCCACAAUGGGCGAAAACCUGAUGGAGCAACGCCGCGUGGGUGAAGAAGGUCUUCGGAUCGUAAAACCCUGUUGUUAGAGAAGAAAGUGCGUGAGAGUAACUGUUCACGUUUCGACGGUAUCUAACCAGAAAGCCACGGCUAACUACGUGCCAGCAGCCGCGGUAAUACGUAGGUGGCAAGCGUUAUCCGGAUUUAUUGGGCGUAAAGGGAACGCAGGCGGUCUUUUAAGUCUUAUGUGAAAGCCUUCUGCUUAACCGGAGUAGUGCAUUGGACACU